AGACUGAAGUGCGCAAACUCUAUAUUAAAAAUAAAUGACAUCCAUAUAUAAAUAAUUCUCAUGUCCGCCGCUAAGGGGGGACGGCCGGUCGUUCCUCUCACCGGGGUGCGGCCGGCAAGCACUCCCGGGGCGCCUCGGCCCAGACCGCAAGCGCACACGUUGGGAUCCGAAAGAUCGUGAACUAUGCCCGGCCAGGACGAAGUCAGGGGAAACCCUGAUGGAGGUCCGCAGCGAUUCUGAUCGUCAGAGCUGGGUAUAGGGGCGAAAUACUAAUCAAACCAUCUAGUAGCUGGUUCCCUCCGAAGUUUCCCUCAGGAUAGCUGACGCCGAGUUGGAAAGGGACCAGUUUCAUCCGGUAAAGCGAAUGAUUAGAGGCCUUGGGGCCGAAAAGACCUCAACCUAUUCUCAAACUUUAAAUGGGUGAGAUCUGAUUUGAAAGGCGCAGAAAACUAUGAGGACUUAAGACACUGUCACUUAUCAAGCAAUCACAGUAGCCUGUUUAGCACGUGGACUCAUCAAUCUACUCGAGCAUUGAUGGUGUCGAA
rnacentral:ncRNA from 1 species